rnacentral:rRNA from 1 species
GACUCUCGGCAACGGAUAUCUCGGCUCUCGCAUCGAUGAAGAACGUAGCGAAAUGCGAUACCUGGUGUGAAUUGCAGAAUCCCGUGAACCAUCGAGUCUUUGAACGCAAGUUGCGCCCGAAGCCUUCUGGCCGAGGGCACGCCUGCCUGGGCGUCACGCA